rnacentral:lncRNA from 1 species
GCUCUCAGGCAGCGAUACUGAUCCUCGUACUUUUCAAGUUGAGCUGGAGCACAGUGGAUGGUUAAGAUCUGAAGGGAAUGAGUGGGGCACUACCGCAACUUUGACAAGAACGCUCUUGCUGGAAUGCCGUGAUCAGCUGCCAAAACAAAGGAAUAGAAAUGGAAGAGUUAGAGGCAGUGUUAUGCUAGAGCUGUCCCUUAGCGAGCUGAUUUUAAAGCUUGAAAUCGGCCAUGGAUGAAUUCUUGGCCUGAAAAAGGGGAAUCAAAAGACGUGCUUUCCUGUGCUUCAGCUGCAAUGUCUAUUUCUCAAGACGCUGAAAAAGAUGAUUUAGAGUUUUAUGAUUAAUGGAAGGGAGGAAUCUACUCUAAAGAAAUUGGAUAAUACUAUAAAUAAGAAAUAAAAAUUAUUUGACAAAAGCUAUCUUCCCCUUAGGGAUUAUA